UUUGAUAAUUUUUAUGUUCUGCUGAGUUACCUGUGCUAGCCAGCAGAUGAGGGCAGUCAGAUGUGCAGGUUUUAACCCAAUGAGAACUUUGUGAUGUCAUAAAGUGAGAAUGGACUAGCUCAGGUCAGGUGUGGGAGCAUGUGUUGGUAUUGUGCAUUGUUGCCUCAAACGCACUACAGAACCACGUGGAGUGCUGGAUUGCACCCACCCUGGCAGAGAACCGGUCCAUCCCUC